rnacentral:rRNA from 1 species
CCCUUAGAUGUCCUGGGCCGCACGCGCGCUACACUGAUGCAUGCAACGAGUUUAUAACCUUGGCCUGAAAGGUCUGGGUAAUCUUUUGAACGUGCAUCGUGAUAGGGAUAGAUUAUUGCAAUUGUUAAUCUUGAACGAGGAAUUCCUAGUAAACGCGAGUCAUCAGCUUGCAUUGAUUACGUCCCUGCCCUUUGUACACACCGCCCGUCGCACCUACCGAUUGAAUGGUUCGGUGAAGAUCUCGGACUUCGAUAUUUAUUCUUUAUUGAGUUUAUAUUGUGGGAAGUUAUCUAAACCUCAUCAUUUAGAGGAAGGUGAAGUCGUAACA